rnacentral:rRNA from 1 species
AUUGAACGCUGGCGGCAGGCCUAACACAUGCAAGUCGAGCGAGCGGCGGACGGGUGAGUAAUGUAUGGGGAACUGCCUGAUGGAGGGGGAUAACUACUGGAAACGGUAGCUAAUACCGCAUACCAUCAGAUGAGCCCAUAUGGGAUUAGCUAGUAGGUGAGGUAACGGCUCACCUAGGCGACGAUCCCUAGCUGGUCUGAGAGGAUGAUCAGCCACACUGGAACUGAGACACGGCCCAGACUCCUACGGGAGGCAGCAGUGGGGAAUAUUGCACAAUGGGGGCAAGCCUGAUGCAGCCAUGCCGCGUGUAUGAAGAAGGCCUUCGGGUUGUAAAGUACUUUCAGCCGGGAGGCGUUACCGACAGAAGAAGCACCGGCUAACUCCGUGCCAGCAGCCGCGGUAAUUC